rnacentral:lncRNA from 1 species
GAGAGAGAGAGAGAGAAAGCGAGAGAGAAAGCGAAAGUGAAAGAGAGGUCUCUGGUGUGUGUGUGUGAGAGAGAGAGAGAGAGAGAGAGAGAGUGAAAGAGAGGUCUCUGGUGUGUGUGUGAGAGAGAGAGAGAGAGAGAGAGAGAGAGAGAGAGGUCUCUGGUGUGUGUGUGUGAGACAGAGAGAGAGAGAGAGAGAGAGAGAGAGAGAGAGAGAGAGAGAAAGCGAGAGAGAAAGUGAAAGUGAAAGAGAGGUCUCUGGUGUGUGUGUGAGAGAGAGAGAGAGAGAGAGAGAGAGAGAGAGAGAGAGAGAGAAAGAGAGAGAGAGAGAGCGAGGUCUCUGGUGUGUGUGUGUGAGACAGAGAGAGAGAGAGAGAGAAAGAGAGAGA